rnacentral:lncRNA from 1 species
UAUGGCUAUGAAAAAAAGCAUCCGAGGAAAUAAAAAGGACAUGUGUCCGAAACCUCAAAAAGAAAGAUCACGAGGAAAUAAAAAGGGACAUGUGUCCGGAACCUCGAAAAAAAUGGGCAAGUGCCCAACAGUAGAAUUAGCCACAUAGCCAUGUGUCUCUAAUAGACAAAAAGAGAAUGAUGGAAAAGAAAAAGUUUUCAAAAAUUCAAUGGUAUGAUUAACUUUCUCUUUGGAUCCAUUGUUUAAUUUGACAAAUACAUGUGCUAAGUUUUGAAAAUAAAAAAAAAACUCUGGAACAAAAGGUGAAGUAAAGAACUAGGGAUAUAGCACUCGAUCUGAUCAAAUCCAUCCAGCAAAUGCUUAAGGACCCAAGGUAUGUGCAAUAAGCCCC